UACGUAGGGGGCAAGCGUUGUCCGGAAUCAUUGGGCGUAAAGAGCGUGUAGGCGGCCUGGUAAGUCCGCUGUGAAAGUCCAGGGCUCAACCCUGGAAUGCCGGUGGAAACUGUCAGGCUCGAGUCCGGAAGAGGCGAGUGGAAUUCCUGGUGUAGCGGUGAAAGUGCGCAGAUAUCAGGAGGAACACCAAUGGCGAAGGCAGCUCGCUGGGACGGU
rnacentral:rRNA from 1 species